rnacentral:rRNA from 1 species
UGAGUAACGCGUGGGUAACCUGCCCUUAAGUCUGGGAUACCAUUUGGAAACAGAUGCUAAUACCGGAUAAAAGCUACUUUCGCAUGAAAGAAGUUUAAAAGGCGGCGUAAGCUGUCGCUAAAGGAUGGACCUGCGAUGCAUUAGCUAGUUGGUAAGGUAACGGCUUACCAAGGCGAUGAUGCAUAGCCGAGUUGAGAGACUGAUCGGCCACAUUGGGACUGAGACACGGCCCAAACUCCUACGGGAGGCAGCAGAU